rnacentral:rRNA from 1 species
AUUGAACGCUGGCGGCAGGCCUAACACAUGCAAGUCGAGCGGAUGAAGGGAGCUUGCUCCUGGAUUCAGCGGCGGACGGGUGAGUAAUGCCUAGGAAUCUGCCUGGUAGUGGGGGAUAACGUCCGGAAACGGGCGCUAAUACCGCAUACGUCCUGAGGGAGAAAGUGGGGGAUCUUCGGACCUCACGCUAUCAGAUGAGCCUAGGUCGGAUUAGCUAGUUGGUUGGGUAAAGGCCUACCAAGGCGACGAUCCGUAACUGGUCUGAGAGGAUGAUCAGUCACACUGGAACUGAGACACGGUCCAGAAUCCUACGGGAGGCAGCAGUGGGGAAUAUUGGACAAUGGGCGAAAGCCUGAUCCAGCCAUGCCGCGUGUGUGAAGAAGGUCUUCGGAUUGUAAAGCACUUUAAGUUGGGAGGAAGGGCAGUAAGUUAAUACCUUGCUGUUUUGACGUUACCAACAGAAUAAGCACCGGCUAACUUCGUG